GUGCUCAUUUCGGCAGCACAUAUACUAAAACUGGAACAACACAGAGAUUAGCAUGGCCCCUGGACAAGGAUCCCAUGCAAAUUUGUGAAGCAGUCCACAUUUUU